GAUGAACGCUGGCGGCGUGCCUAAUACAUGCAAGUCGAGCGAACGGACGAGAAGCUUGCUUCUCUGAUGUUAGCGGCGGACGGGUGAGUAACACGUGGAUAACCUACCUAUAAGACUGGGAUAACUUCGGGAAACCGUAGCUAAUACCGGAUAAUAUUUUGAACCGCAUGGUUCAAAAGUGAAAGACGGUCUUGCUGUCACUUAUAGAUGGAUCCGCGCUGCAUUAGCUAGUUGGUAAGGUAACGGCUUACCAAGGCAACGAUGCAUAGCCGACCUGAGAGGGUGAUCGGCCACACUGGAGCUGAGACACGGUCCAGACUCCUACGGGAGGCAGCAGUAGGGAAUCUUCCGCAAUGGGCGAAAGCCUGACGGAGCAACGCCGCGUGAGUGAUGAAGGUCUUCGGAUCGUAAAACUCUGUUAUUAGGGAAGAACACAUGUGUAAGUAACUGUGCACAUCUUGACGGUACCGAAUCAGAAAGCCACGGCUAACUACGUG
rnacentral:rRNA from 1 species